AUGUUUUACAAGGUUGCAAAGUUUGGUGUUUUUGUUGCUACUGCCCUAGGUUUUGUUGUUCUUGCAUGGUUUGUUGUUCCACAUGUUGGCAAGGUAUCUACCCCUCAAAGCUUCACUCCUAUUUUCUGUGUUUGCUGUGGCAUUCGAAAGUUAAAACUUGAUGCCACUCUUUUGGACAGGAUCGUUCAAAAUUCUUCUUAUUUUAGUUUGCAAGCUCAGAUAGACAAACCUUAUAUUUGUGUUCAACAUAAUAGUGGAGAUAAUGUAAAAAACUGGCAAUACGGCCCUAACUAUGUUAUUGUUGACUCCUAUGAAAUGUAUGGAUAUGGUGACAUGCUUUAA
rnacentral:rRNA from 1 species